rnacentral:rRNA from 1 species
CCUACGGCUGGCAGCAGUGGGGAAUAUUGGACAAUGGGCGAAAGCCUGAUCCAGCCAUGCCGCGUGUGUGAAGAAGGCCUUCGGGUUGUAAAGCACUUUCAGUGGGGAAGAAAGCCUUGGGGCUAAUACCCUCGAGGAAGGACAUCACCCACAGAAGAAGCACCGGCUAACUCCGUGCCAGCAGCCGCGGUAAUACGGAGGGUGCGAGCGUUAAUCGGAAUUACUGGGCGUAAAGCGCGCGUAGGCGGUCUGAUAAGCCGGUUGUGAAAGCCCCGGGCUCAACCUGGGAACGGCAUCCGGAACUGUCAGGCUAGAGUGCAGGAGAGGAAGGUAGAAUUCCCGGUGUAGCGGUGAAAUGCGUAGAGAUCGGGAGGAAUACCAGUGGCGAAGGCGGCCUUCUGGACUGACACUGACGCUGAGGUGCGAAAGCGUGGGUAGCAAACAGGAUUAGAUACCCGAGUAGUC